rnacentral:misc_RNA from 1 species
AAGUCGUAACAAGGUUUCUGUAGGUGAACCUGCAGAAGGAUCAUUAGUGAAGAUUUGGGCAGGCCAUACGGACGCCAAAAAGUGUCCCUGGCCGCCUACACCCACUAUACAUCCACAAACCCGUGUGCACUGUCUUGGAGAAAGGCUUCAGAUAAGUUUUUUGUGGCCUCUCUUGGGGUCUUUCUUCGCUACAAACUCGAAUGGUUAGUAUGAACGUGGAACUUGGUUGGACCGUCACUGGCCAACAAACUAUACACAACUUUCGACAACGGAUCUCUUGGUUCUCC